UCCCCCACCUGUCUCCAGGCACUGCAAACACAGCUGUGUAAGAAGGAGACAGUCAACGCUUCCAAGGAAAGAAAUAAGCAGCAGUUGCUACAACCACCUGAGCAUCAAAUGGGCAAUUAAUUGGAACAGAUUUAAUAAAUGUACUAGAGAAGGGAGCUGUAUGUUUAUGGACUACAGUCCUUUCAUGGUCAUGCAUAAUGGACCAGACACUUUUCCACCCAGCUGCUUAUGCUACCACAGUGAACACAAAAUUUACAUACCUGGAAGAAAA
rnacentral:lncRNA from 1 species